ACAGAUGAAGGCGACUAUCAGGUCAAACUACGCAACCUGAUUCGUUUUCUGGAAGAUGGCGAUAAAGCUAAAAUCACCCUGCGUUUCCGUGGGCGUGAAAUGGCACACCAGCAGAUUGGUAUCGAAAUGCUUAACCGCAUCCGUGACGAUCUGAGUGAACUGGCUAUGGUCGAAUCCUUCCCAACGAAGGUUGAAGGCCGCCAGAUGAUCAUGGUGCUCGCUCCUAAGAAGAAAUAGUCAGGCAAACAAGUAAUGAGCUCCAGCUAAUUUUGGUUGGAGUUUAUUCGCCUUACUAGUUCGUUGUAAUCAACAAUGCGAAGUGGAAAUUAAAAUGCCAA
rnacentral:misc_RNA from 1 species